rnacentral:rRNA from 1 species
CAGCAGCCACGGUAAUACGAAGGGUGCAAGCGUUAAUCGGAAUUACUGGGCGUAAAGCGUGCGUAGGCGGUUUGUUAAGACAGAUGUGAAAUCCCCGGGCUCAACCUGGGAACUGCAUUUGUGACUGGCAAGCUAGAGUGUGGCAGAGGGGGGUGGAAUUCCGCGUGUAGCAGUGAAAUGCGUAGAUAUGCGGAGGAACACCGAUGGCGAAGGCAGCCCCCUGGGCCAACACUGACGCUCAUGCACGAAAGCGUGGGGAGCAAACAGGAUUAGAUACCCCCGUAGUCCCUGUCUCUUAUAC